AAUAAGUAUCAAUACAGUAACCAUCUGAAUCACUAUUUAAUCAAAUUAGAAGGUGGGAUCAUAUGGAGCAUUUGCUCUGAAAGGCAACACUCAACAAAGCGACUCCUCAACGUUAUCAGGCGCACGUGAAGUCACAAAAAGACACCAGCACACGCACAAUGCGCGCAACCACAUGAACACACUCCAGCCCUUUCAACACACUCACACACAACUCAACGUCAUGCAAUCGCAAAACGCGAACAAUGCCCGCUUAAGUAACACGCAACCUAACAAACACGACGCUAUCAGCUGGAAUUUCUGUUUACUUUGAACCUUGACUAAUAUUUAACCUGCCCGUAUCUGUAUCUGUUCACCUUUUAUUGUUUUAUGUGUUUUGUGUCAGUGCAGUGGAGGCGCAAAAUCAGCACACCAUCAGCAAAACGCUCGUAGUCGCUGUGGGCUUCAACUACCGUGUACAUUUAGUCGAGAAUACCUGACUACAGAAUGACAAAGUAGCACAACAAACCAUUAUACGUAAAGGAAGCGAAACUAGAAGAAAAAUGUGGUUAUGUUUCCGUCUACCUGUCAGUGUUCAAAAUGACGGGGAAAAAAAACCCUACAAUUUCUUGAAAUGAUAGCGUGAAGUUGGGCUUCAUCGUGUCUUGGCGCAAAACUCUGCUUGGGUGCAACGGUUUUGCUGUGUGAAGAAGAUGAUGACAUCAUCGAUGGGAAGUUGCGCUACAGUAUAUCCAUGCAGACCUCCACAUGCGGUCACUAAUUAGCUGCCCUGAAGCAGCACACGAUCUCUCUGAUGAGGCCGCGUAGGAGGACAAUCAAAAAGACGAGGUGGGGUCACCUCCCACCGAUAACAAUGACGGGAAACCAGCGCACUCCUUGAAGGGCAGAGAUUCCCAGACAGUAGCGAGCUGACAGAAAGGCUCUACAAAAAAAUCCAGCCUCAAAUGAAUUAUAGUAGCUGUCGCUAAUCUCCACUAAAGG